rnacentral:rRNA from 1 species
CGGCGAGUGAAGCGGCAAAAGCUCAAAUUUGAAAUCUAGCACCUUCGGUGUUCGAGUUGUAAUUUGAAGAUGGCAACCUUGGGUUUGGCUCUUGUCUAUGUUCCUUGGAACAGGACGUCAUAGAGGGUGAGAAUCCCGUCUGAUGAGAUGCCCAUUCCUUUGUAAGGUGCUAUCGAAGAGUCGAGUUGUUUGGGAAUGCAGCUCUAAGUGGGUGGUAAAUUCCAUCUAAAGCUAAAUAUUGGCGAGAGACCGAUAGCGAACAAGUACAGUGAUGGAAAGAUGAAAAGAACUUUGAAAAGAGAGUGAAAAAGUACGUGAAAUUGUUGAAAGGGAAGGGCAUUAGAUCAGACUUGGUGUUUUACGAUUAUCUUCUCUUCUUGAGUUGUGCACUCGUAUUUCACUGGGCCAGCAUCGAUUCGGAUGGUAAGAUAAGAACAGUUGAAUGUGGCUCUUCGGAGUGUUAUAGCUUCUGUUGAUAUUGCCUGUCUGGAUCGAGGGCUGCGUCUUUUGACUAGGAUGCUGGCGUAAUGAUCUAAUGCCGCCC